rnacentral:rRNA from 1 species
AGGACGAACGCUGGCGGCGUGCUUAACACAUGCAAGUCGAGCGGAAAGGCCCUUCGGGGUACUCGAGCGGCGCACGGGUGAGUAACACGUGAAUCAUCUACCUCCGAGUGGGGGAAUAACCUAGAGAAAUCUGGGCUAAUACCGCAUAACACUUACGAGUCAAAGCAGCAAUGCGCUUGGAGAGGAGUUCGCGGCCGAUUAGCUAGUUGGCGGGGUAAUGGCCCACCAAGGCGAUGAUCGGUAUCCGGCCUGAGAGGGCGCACGGACACACUGGAACUGAAACACGGUCCAGACUCCUACGGGAGGCAGCAGUGGGGAAUUUUGCGCAAUGGGGGAAACCCUGACGCAGCAACGCCGCGUGGAGGAUGAAAUAUCUUGGUAUGUAAACUCCUUUCGAUGGGGAAGAUUAUGACGGUACCCAUAGAAGAAGCCCCGGCUAACUUCGUGCCAGCAGCCGC